rnacentral:lncRNA from 1 species
UGUCAAAAACUACAAAAAUUGCCCAAUGGAAUAGGAAAUUUGAUCAAACUUCAAGAACUAUAUAUAACCACAAAGCAAUUUAACUUCCCAGAAGAAUUAGCCAAAUUAUCUUCUCUAGAAAUUCUUGCAUUCAGUUAUUGUGAUAAUUUGAUGUUUUCUUUUGAAGGAAUACAAUUUCCUAAACUUAAAUUCUUACGUUUUUCAUUUUGUGGGAAUCUGAAGUCAUUGCCAUUUCAUAUCAUUCCAAAUAUAGAGACUUUGAUCAUUGAGGACUGUAAUAUGGUGAUAUUGUCAAUGGGUGAUAACAACAACCAAAUACCCAAGUUAAACUUAGAAUUACUAGAUCUUGAGUCUUUGCCUCAAAUAGUUACUUUUCCACAAUGGCUUCAAGGAUGUGCAAACACCCUACAUACCUUAGGUAUUCAAAACUGUGAAAAUCUUGAGGAGCUUCCUAACUGGUUGUCAACUUUUAUUUCUCUCAAGAUCCUUAUAAUUGUAAACUGUCCAAAAUUGAUUUCACUCCCUGAAGAUUUGCAUCACCUUCCAAACCUUGAACAUUUAUUAAUGAGUGGUUGUCCUGAAUUAUAUAGAAGAUACGAGCCAGAAGUUGGACAAGAUUGGUACAAGAUAUCACAUAUCAAACAUGUUUAUGUUGAACUUGAAGAUUAAAAGGAGUUCGUAGAAAUGUACAAUCGAACUUUGAAUGUAUUAAGUUUCUCUUGUUUGAUUUUCUUCUUUGUAUUUUAUUAUUAUUUGAAUAAAAAUGUCUGUCUAUCAUGUAUUCUGUUUUUCCUCUUCCUAGUAUCCCACUAUCCCUUGCCUAUUACGGUGUUUUAUUUAUUC